GACAGAGGUGCCAAGCGUUGUCCGGAAUUAUUGGGCGUAAAGAGCUCGUAGGCGGUUUGUUGCGUCGGCUGUGAAAUCCCGAGGCUCAACCUCGGGUCUGCAGUCGAUACGAGCAAACUAGAGUGUUGCAGGGGAGACUGGAAUUCCUGGUGUAGCGGUGAAAUGCGCAGAUAUCAGGAGGAACACCGGUGGCGAAGGCGGGUCUCUGGGCAACAACUGACGCUGAGGAGCGAAAGCGUGGGGAGCAAACAGG
rnacentral:rRNA from 1 species